rnacentral:rRNA from 1 species
AACGAACGCUGGCGGCAUGCCUAACACAUGCAAGUCGAACGAGACCUUCGGGUCUAGUGGCGCACGGGUGCGUAACGCGUGGGAACCUGCCCUUAGGUUCGGAAUAACUCCCCGAAAGGGGUGCUAAUACCGGAUAAUGUCUUCGGACCAAGGAUUUAUCGCCUUUGGAUGGGCCCGCGUUGGAUUAGCUAGUUGGUAGGGUAAAAGCCUACCAAGGCGACGAUCCAUAGCUGGUCUGAGAGGAUGAUCAGCCACACUGGGACUGAGACACGGCCCAGACUCCUACGGGAGGCAGCAGUGGGGAAUAUUGGACAAUGGGCGAAAGCCUGAUCCAGCAAUACCGCGUGAGUGAUGAAGGCCUUAGGGUUGUAAAGCUCUUUUACCCGGGAUGAUAAUGACAGUACCGGGAGAAUAAGCUCCGGCUAACUCCGUG